AAAUACGUAUCCAUUAAUAUACAAUUAACUAAAAGAACUACUAGUACAACUAGUAACAAAUAUUUCAGGCUGUUUUUCCGACUUCCAUGUCGGUUACUAAGGACAGUGUGUGCAUACAUUAGUCAUCCCUAUAUCACCGUUAAAUGCAAGGUAUAAAUAAUGAAGACGGCUCUUGUAGAUCACAUAUUACUUGUAACAGACAAUGAGUCAGUACGUCCUGAACAUGAAGCUUCUGUGUUUGUUGGGUCUCGUAGCUGUCGUACUGGCGAUGUGUUCAGCAGCCAGCAUAGCCUUGGAAGAUGGUGAGACUAGCCAUCAUCUUCGAGUGAGAAGACAAAAUGUAUUAUUCCUACAUAACGAUCCCUGUCCUAAAGGUCUGGGGAGAGUAGGAUUUAGCUGUUUGCCUUGUGACCGAUACGAGGAAGCAACUGGUCGGCCAUGUAAAAGUAAUGCAAAAGCUCGGAAACAUCGUCAUUAUUAAUAAAAAUAAAAUUUUAAUUUUUAAGUAGUGUACUUAAAAUACAAUUAACGCACUUAAGGUGGCCUAAGAAGUAUAUUGACGUUUCAAUAUAUUAGAUUUUUAUAAGAUCGACAAAAGUAGCUCAACAAGUUUCGUUUUAGUUAGAAAAAAGUUGCCCGACUGUUUUGUUGUGCAUUGAGGAACUGUUGCACAACUGUUGUACAACUGUUGUGCGACAUUUUUGUUUCCAGUCUGCGUGAUUUUUUGUAACCUCGUAGAUAAAAGAAUAACGAUGACUAAACCAAAACAGUUGUACAACUGCGUUGUUGCCAGUGAGCAGAGGCCUGACACUUGUUAAAUGAUACUGGUCUACAAGCCAUCGAGUUUUCACUUGUUAUUAAUUAAGGACCGACUUAUAAAGUUUAUAAUAAACCGUGAUCUCAUA